rnacentral:rRNA from 1 species
AGAUUGAACGCUGGCGGCAGGCCUAACACAUGCAAGUCGAGCGGUAGAGAGGUGCUUGCAUCUCUUGAGAGCGGCGGACGGGUGAGUAAUGCCUAGGAAUCUGCCUAGUGGUGGGGGAUAACGUUCGGAAACGGACGCUAAUACCGCAUACGUCCUACGGGAGAAAGCGGGGGACCUUCGGGCCUCGCGCCAUUAGAUGAGCCUAGGUCGGAUUAGCUAGUUGGUGAGGUAAUAGCUCACCAAGGCGACGAUCCGUAACUGGUCUGAGAGGAUGAUCAGUCACACUGGAACUGAGACACGGUCCAGACUCCUACGGGAGCAGCAGUGGGGGAAUA